CCCACGUGGGGCCGGCCGCUGAGGAAGCCCAAGAAAUCCUUUCUGUCAAAGGUUUACGGGUGCCUGUUCCCAGUGGUCAGACACUGAUCGAGCAGCUGGAUGAUAAUAUUAAUCCAACCUUAAGGAGUGCUAUACUUUUUGAUCGCAUACGUGUUUUCAGACAGGACCUCUGUACUGUACACAGUAUUUCAUUUGUUCAUUUGUUUUUCAUCAUAUAUAUAAUCCAUGUA